UACAGAGGCCCCAAGCGUUACUGAGAAUCACUGGGUUUAAAGGGUGCGUAGGUGGUCCGUUAAGUUCGUUGUGAAAGCCCUGGGCUCAACCCAGGAACUGCUUCGAAUACUGGCGGACUUGAGGCUAGUAGGGGUUACUGGAACUGACGGUGGAGCGGUGAAAUGCGUAGAUAUCUGGAGGAACACCGGUGGCGAAGGCGACAUCCUGGACCGGUAUUGACGCUGAGGCGCGAAAGCCAGGGGAGCAAACGGG
rnacentral:rRNA from 1 species